ensembl:rRNA 5S_rRNA 5S ribosomal RNA
GCUUACGGCCACACAGGCCUGAGUACGCCUGAUCUCGUCCGAUCUCGGAAGCUAAGCAGGGUCGGGCCUGGUUAGUACUUGGAUGGGAGACCGCCUGGGAAUACCAGGUGCUGUAAGCU